GAUGAAGAACGUAGCGAAAUGCGAUAAUUAAUGUGAAUUGCAGAAUUUAGUGAAUCAUCGAAUCUUUGAACGCACAUUGCGCCCCUUGGUAUUCCGGGGGGCAUGCCUGUUCGAGCGUCAUUUCAACCCUCAAGCUCUGCUUGGUCUUGGGCCGCGCCGGCAACGGCGGGCCUCAAAAACAGUGGCGGCGCCAUCUGGUCCCUCAGCGUAGUAAUUCUUCUCGCUGCUGGGCCCCGGUGGGCGCUUGCCAGCAACCCCAAACUUUCUAUGGUUGACCUCGGAUCAGGUAGGGAUACCCGCUGAACUUAAGCAUAUCAAUAAGCGGAGGA
rnacentral:misc_RNA from 1 species